GACCUGAUGGUGUAGUGUUAACAUGCCUGCUGAAUUUGAGAGCAAGUUGUAGGAAAGUAAGCAGGAGGCCUCGGUUCGAACCCGGGUCAGGUCA